rnacentral:rRNA from 1 species
GACGAACGCUGGCGGCGUGCUUAACACAUGCAAGUCGAACGAAGUGGCGAACGGGUGAGUAACGCGUAAUCAACCUGCCCUUCAGAGGGGGACAACAGUUGGAAACGACUGCUAAUACCGCAUACUGAAGGGGGGGAUUGCGUCUGAUUAGCUAGUUGGGGGGGUAACGGCCCACCAAGGCGAUGAUCAGUAGCCGGUCUGAGAGGGUGAACGGGCACAGUGAGACUGAGACACGGCCCAGAAUCCGACGGGAGGCAGCAGUGGGGAAUCUUCCGAAAUGGACGAAAGGCUGACGGAGCAACGCCGCGUGAGAGAUGACGGCCUGCGGGGUGGAAAGCUCUGUUAAGCGGGACGCGGUACCGGAAUAGAAAGCCACGGCUAACGACGUGCCAGCCGCCGCGGUAAUAC